UCGCUGCCUGGCUGACCGCGGCGAGACUCAUGCUUGUGACCUCCUCCUGCAGGUUAUCCCGAAGCGUGGGGGGCCUUCGCUACAGGAUCAAUCACCGUCCUCGUCUUCAUCCCUAUUCUCUUUUAUGGCAUCUGGACGGAGUGUCGGAAGUGGCUAGCUGUCUGGCUCGCCUGGAUAGCCAUCCUGACAGCGCUGGGUCUCAUUGGCAGCGCCGUGGGCAUGAUAAAGAGUGACUACGUGCCCACCCUGGCUAUAGUGGGCGUGCUCUUUAACUUUACGUGGCAGGUUGUGCUCUCCUACUUGAUCUAUGCUUAUAUGCAGUCGCUGAGAUCCCGGGAGCCAUUGGUUGAAGAAACCUUGUAACGAAUUCCUCAGGAUUAGCAGCGUCGUGUUUCUCCAAGAUGAAGUCGACGUCGUGACUUCAGUUCCGUCGCGCUUGUCAGCUGUCUUUUGUUUCGAGUUGCUGCAUGACCGAAGUUUAUCGUCUUCUCAGAUCGUACAGAUGUUAUCGAAAUGCUAUUGGCUAAUCGAUGUAUCAUCUUUAUCUAUUAACAUAAAUCAUAUAUGAUUUUUUACUGACACACGAUACGUAUCUGUAUGAGUAUGAUGUCGAUGGUUUGUGCAAUAUACUCAUUUCCAUGCACUAAAUACGUGUAUAUGACUCUAACACUGUAACCAAUGUAAAUAAACCUACUAUCAGUAUUACUGUCAGUGUUAUCAUUACAUACAACAUCAUAGUUUUCAUUAUUUAUGGUCCAUAUCUAUCUUAUCUCGUAUGACAAUAAUUGAUAUCUCGAUACGCCCUGGGGUUAUAGACCAUCCUGUUUCGCGCUGCCGACGUCAGACAUCUGGCAGCAGGCAGGGGCGAUGGCUGCAGAGGAGAGUGUCACAGUAUACAACAAAUGCUGUUGCUGUCUCUCACUCCGCAGAGGCUCUCAGGCCAUUGCAGCUGUUAGUCUGUGCCUUGGGGUAGUUGGUACAAUCUACAGCAUCUAUGUCGGCGGUCGCAGGUCGGUAG
rnacentral:lncRNA from 1 species